rnacentral:rRNA from 1 species
AUGGGUGUCUUUAAACUUCCAAUGUCAGUAUGUGAUGAUUUGAAUAGGAUGAUACAAAAUUUUUGGUGGGAAUCCUCAAAAGGCAAGAGGAAGACGCAAUGGAUGGCUUGGCCGAAAAUUUUGGCACAUAAAAUGAAGGACGGUCUGGGAUUUAGAGAUUUUCGCCUCUUCAACCAAGCCUUGCUAGCGAGACAGGCAUAUCGUUUGCUCACUAAUCUUAAUAGUUUGUGUGUGCAGGUGUUAAAAGCUCGUUACUACCCGGAAGGUCGACUCGAGGACACUGUAUUCUCAGGGAAUGCGUAUCCUACUUGGCAUUGGCAGGCCAUCCAAUAUGACCUCGAACUCUUGAAAAAGGGCAUCAUGUGGUGCGUCGGUGAUAGAAAAAACAUCCGUAUAUGGCGGGAUCAUUGGCUGCCUAGGGAGCCUUUGCGUCAACCCAUCACGCCGCAAGGAAACUGCCAUCUUAGGAGAGUGGCUGAGCUCUUGGACGAGUCUUGCGCUUGGCGCUUGAACGUUAUUCGACGCCACUUCCAACUAUCGGACAUGGACACGAUCACCAGUAUCCGCACAUCGUCUCGCAUCACCGACGACAUCAUCGCUUGGGCGCCAAAGAAGAACGGUAUUUUCACCGUUCGUUCCGCCUACCGCUUAGCCAUGGACAAGCGCGAGCGUCCAUCGACAACCGCCAGGAGCAGGGCACCAAAUAAUCAUCGCACCAUCUGA